rnacentral:rRNA from 1 species
CUUGACAUCCAGAGAACUUAGCAGAGAUGCUUUGGUGCCUUCGGGAACUCUGAGACAGGUGCUGCAUGGCUGUCGUCAGCUCGUGUUGUGAAAUGUUGGGUUAAGUCCGCAACGAGCGCAACCCUUAUCCUUUGUUGCCAGCGGUUCGGCCGGGAACUCAAAGGAGACUGCCAGUGAUAAACUGGAGGAAGGUGGGGAUGACGUCAAGUCAUCAUGGCCCUUACGAGUAGGGCUACACACGUGCUACAAUGGCGUAUACAAAGAGAAGCGACCUCGCGAGAGCAAGCGGACCUCAUAAAGUACGUCGUAGUCCGGAUUGGAGUCUGCAACUCGACUCCAUGAAGUCGGAAUCGCUAGUAAUCGUAGAUCAGAAUGCUACGGUGAAUACGUUCCCGGGCCUUGUACACACCGCCCGUCACACCAUGGGAGUGGGUUGCAAAAGAAGUAGGUAGCUUAACCUUCGGGAGGGCGCUUACCACUUUGUGAUUCAUGACUGGGGUGAAGUCGUAACAAGGUAGGCGUAGACGU